CUGGUUGAUCCUGCCAGUAGUCAUAUGCUUGUCUCAAAGAUUAAGCCAUGCAUGCCUCAGUAUAAGCUUCUAUACGGCGAAACUGCGAAUGGCUCAUUAAAACAGUUAUAGUUUAUUUGAUGGUCAACAAUUACAUGGAUAACCGUGGUAAUUCUAGAGCUAAUACAUGCGCCCAAACCCAACUUCGUGGAAGGGUUGUGUUUAUUAGAUACAGAACCAACCCAGGCUCCGCCUGGCAUUGAGGUGAUUCAUAAUAACCGAACGGAUCGCAUGGUUCGCCGGCGACAAAUCAUUCAAGUUUCUGACCUAUCAGCUAUCGUCGGUAGGGUAUUGGCCUACCGUGGCAAUGACGGGUAACGGAGAAUUAGGGUUCGAUUCCGGAGAGGGAGCCUGAGAAACGGCUACCACAUCUAAGGAAGGCAGCAGGCGCGCAAAUUACCCAAUCCUGACAUAGGGAGGUAGUGACAAGAAAUACCAAUACGGGGCAUCCAUGUCUCGUAAUUGGAAUGAGUAAACUUUAAAUCACUUUACGAGUAUCAAUUGGAGGGCAAGUCUGG
rnacentral:rRNA from 1 species